AAUGAGUCAUGUUCACAUUCUGUAUUGCAUCAUAUGCUUUAUUGACACAACUAUUAAUAUACAGGCAGAAGACGCAAGGCAUGCUGGGUAAUUGGCAGCACAACGAUACAAAGUAAAAGCUUAAUUGUAAUCUUUGUGAGACUCUAAAACAAUGACCAGGGGUGCGUUUCUCAAAAGCAUCGUAAGGUAAUGUAAGUGCGACAGAGAGCAUUUUAUGUUUGGAAAAAAAAAAAUAAUAAUAAUCAUAAUAUUCAACCACAUCAUGCAAUAUUCAGACAGUUUAAAAAGUUUUUUUUUUUUUUUAAUCUCAUUAUAGCCUCUCAAUGACAAGUAACAAAUAUAAGUUAAAAAUCAUCCCCACCUUUUAUUUAUUUGUUUAUCUUAUGUACCCUUUUAUUCUCAAGCUAUUUGUCACAAAGGGCAAAACCAUACAAAGCCAUAAAACCGUAAAAGCUCUCAAAGAGCUUACACACUUUUAGUCCACUUCCAUUAUCACCUCCACUGAUUUAAAUUCUUCUUUUUCAUCUUCUUUUUCAGAUUCAUCAUCUGGCAAUCUUUCAAUGCAUUUCUCGGCUUCAGCAAGUGAAGGGCAGUUUUUCCCUUUUGAAAGGUCUACAUUUGGAUCCAGUUCACAACAACUGAGGCUUGCCUUAAGCCUUCUUUUAGGGAAGGUCAGGACAUCUUCGGUGUAAAAGACAAGGCUAACGUGAUCCCACACAUAAAACUGAUGUGUAUACAUGGGUUCUGUCACUGCUGUGUUUCCUCUGAUUACCAGUUGGAACUUGUGAGUUUCACAAAUGGCUUGGGCUCUCCAGAUGAUUUGAUGUCCAUCAUAAGCAACCCAUGGGUUGUCUGUUAGCUUUGGAAAUUGACUGAACUUCUCAUUGAGGUCAGGGCUGUGAACAAGAACAACAUACUCAAUCUCCUGUUUGAAAAGUUUGGUCCCGUAGAUCCGGAGAACUGGCUCUUGACCUUCACACUUCUGCUUCUUGUAGGCUUCCAUCAGUUCAGUGAGAGGAAAGGUGAAGCGGAAGUUACCGUAGCGUGAGAAUUCGUUCAGGAACAACGGUGAUGUGGUGAAUUCACUCAGGAACGGCGGAUGAGCUGUUUUUUGUUCUUUGGUUAUGUCUGGGAACAAUUUCUCGAGGUAACGUUCCUCAGCUGCUCUUAUAUCUGCUUCAUUAAUCUUCAGGCUCCACCAUGAAAACGAAUCUUCAUCAAGACCCAUGAAUCCCUCUGACUUCCAGAUCCCCUCAAGGCUCGUCUUGUUAGUGACAUGAGCCACUUCUGUGAUGUGAAAUUCAACAGGAGAAGGAUAAUCAGGGAUGUCUUUCGGAAGAUACGUUUUAUUCAUAUGUCGUUGUUUUAUCUCAUCUUUUAUUUUCAGAUCUUCUAUUGCAAUGUAUUCCUUUUUACAGACAUGUGGUCUUGCUUUUCGGCCAUUUUUUUGGGGGCUGAAGUUUGCCUGGGAAGAUGAAGUACAGUUAGUUGAGGUAUGUUUUGUUUUAGUCACAUUCACAUAUACAUGAAAUGACAUUUUACUUCUAACUUCACAAAUACACACUAUGUACAUCCUGUUUGGAAAACACUGAACAGUACUACAGGAGACACAAAGUAAAGCACAUUUAAGGAGGAUUAUAGCGAUAGUAUCAGCAAUAAUGAUUUAUCAUUACAAAUCAUUUACAAACAUUACGUACCUUUUUGUAUGUUUGUUAUUUCUAACUAAAAUGUUAAGGUGAAUUCUGUAAAUAUACAUGAAGUCUAAACAAGCUGCAAGAUGUCAUUUUUGUACCUACAGUAAUUUAAAAAUCAAGAUCAUAUACAAAAUAGUACAUUCAAUGUUUUGAAAUAUUUUGUUGUAAACUGUUGUUAACUGAACGAGCAAUUUUCAUAUACACAUUUUAUCAAAAAGCUGCAAUACUAUUAAAGAUGACAGCUAGGUGCAUUAAAAGGAAUAUAUUCAGCACAUCUAAGUUCUCACUAUAUGAUAUUGAUUUUUGUGUCGAAUGUAAAGAUUUGCCUACUUACUGCCAUUGUUAGAUGUUUAUGUUCUCGAGAAAAGUGUGAUGUUCUUCGGCUGUGUCUUGUGAAGACUGUAAGAUCAUUCUUCUGCUGGUUUUUAAAGGCUGUCCCUCUGAAAACUGCCACGCCUUUGAGGGCUGUUUCCUCACAAACGAAACUUAGCUCACGAAAUCACACAGGAAACAUUUUUAAGUUUCGUUCUUAGCUCAAGCAAAUAAAUAUAAAACUGCUAAAGAGUAAAUGAAGCAAAAUAAUGCAUUAUAAAACAAGCUUGACAAAAUAUAGGCAACAGACUAAAAUUUGUACUAACACAGCCAAAGAGAAUCAGCUCAUCUUAAUCUGAAUGCUUUUCUUGUACACACAUGUGAAAGGAUAUUUAGGCAGCUUCUCUAAAACUUAGCAAGAACAAAACAUCCUUCACACUCUGUACAUGUCAUUUCUCAGAAAUCUCUG
ensembl:lncRNA